rnacentral:rRNA from 1 species
AAUGAUACCCGGGUAGUCCACGCCGUAAACGAUGAGUGCUAAGUGUUAGAGGGUUUCCGCCCUUUAGUGCUGCAGCUAACGCAUUAAGCACUCCGCCUGGGGAGUACGGUCGCAAGACUGAAACUCAAAGGAAUUGACGGGGGCCCGCACAAGCGGUGGAGCAUGUGGUUUAAUUCGAAGCAACGCGAAGAACCUUACCAGGUCUUGACAUCCCACUGACCGGUAUAGAGAUAUACCUUUCCCUUCGGGGACAGUGGUGACAGGUGGUGCAUGGUUGUCGUCAGCUCGUGUCGUGAGAUGUUGGGUUAAGUCCCGCAACGAGCGCAACCCUUGAUCUUAGUUGCCAGCAUUUAGUUGGGCACUCUAAGGUGACUGCCGGUGACAAACCGGAGGAAGGUGGGGAUGACGUCAAAUCAUCAUACCCCUUAUGACCUGGGCUACACACGUGCUACAAUGGAUGGUACAAAGGGCUGCAAGACUGCGAAGUCAAGCCAAUCCCAUAAAACCAUUCUCAGUUCGGAUUGCAGGCUG